rnacentral:lncRNA from 1 species
GAGACCCAUAUGGAAAUGCCAACAUCUUUCUCCUAAUAAAACAAACUAGCAAAUGUGUAUGGAGAGGAUAGGAAAACAACACAGAAGGUAGGUACCUUUACCUACAUUCUUCCUUUUUCAUAUUCCUUAUUGGAGAACAUCACAGUAUUGGUGAUUUUGAAGAUAUUAUAAGGUAACUAUCUGUAUGUCUGUCUCUCUCAGAGAGAGAGGCAGUGUGAGCUCCUAGAAAUCAGGAGCAACAUUUUUUUUUAACUGCUCUUCCCCACAGGGUGCCUAACUUAGAAUCUUGCUUAAAU